rnacentral:rRNA from 1 species
UACGGAGGGUGCGAGCGUUAAUCGGAAUUACUGGGCGUAAAGGGCAUGUAGGCGGUCUGUUAAGUUAGGUGUAAAAGCCCUGGGCUUAACCUAGGAACGACAUUUAAGACUGACAGGCUAGAGUGAUGUAGAGGGGGGUAGAAUUCCAGGUGUAGCGGUGAAAUGCGUAGAGAUCUGGAGGAAUACCGGUGGCGAAGGCGGCCCCCUGGGAAUCAACUGACGCUGAGGUGCGAAAGCGUGGGGAGCAAACAGG